rnacentral:rRNA from 1 species
GUUCAGACGUGUGCUCUUCCGAUCUCCGCAAUGGGCGAAAGCCUGACGGAGCAAUACCGCGUGAGGGAGGAAUGCCUUUGGGUUGUAAACCUCUUUUCUCAGGGAAGAAGAUCUGACGGUACCUGAGGAAUAAGUAUCGGCUAACUCCGUGCCAGCAGCCGCGGUAAUACGGAGGAUGCAAGCGUUAUCCGGAAUCAUUGGGCGUAAAGCGUCCGCAGGUGGUUUCCAAAGUCUGCUGUUAAAGACUGGAGCUCAACUCCGGAACGGCGGUGGAAACUUGGAAACUAGAGUUCGGUAGGGGUAGCAGGAAUUCCCAGUGUAGCGGUGAAAUGCGUAGAUAUUGGGAAGAACAUCGGUGGCGAAGGCGUGCUACUGGACCGCAACUGACACUCAGGGACGAAAGCUAGGGUAGCGAAAGGGAUUAGAUACCCCUGUAGUCCUAGCCGUAAACGAUGGAAACUAGGUGUGGCUUGUAUCGACCCGAGCCGUGCCGUAGCUAACGCGUUAAGUUUCCCGCCUGGGGAGUACGCACGCAAGUGUGAAACUCAAAGGAAUUGACGGGGGCCCGCACAAGCGGUGGAGUAUGUGGUUUAAUUCGAUGCAACGCGAAGAACCUUACCAGGGUUUGACAUCCUGCGAAUCUCUUGGAAACUUGAGAGUGCCUUCGGGAACGCAGUGACAGGUGGUGCAUGGCUGUCGUCAGCUCGUGUCGUGAGAUGUUGGGUUAAGUCCC